rnacentral:rRNA from 1 species
AGCAGUAGCCGCGGUAAUACGGAGGGGGCUAGCGUUGUUCGGAAUUACUGGGCGUAAAGCGCACGUAGGCGGCUUGGUAAGUUAGAGGUGAAAGCCUGGAGCUCAACUCCAGAAUUGCCUUUAAGACUGCCGAGCUAGCAGGUGAGAGAGGUAAGUGGAAUUCCGAGUGUAGAGGUGAAAUUCGUAGAUAUUCGGAAGAACACCAGUGGCGAAGGCGGCUUACUGGCUCAUACUGGACGCUGAGGUGCGAAAGCGUGGGGAGCAAACAGGAUUAGAUACCCGAGUAGUCCCUGUCUCUUAUAA